AACCACUCCCACUGCUGCUGGUAUCAAGUGCUGAAACUUGGCAUGGAAAGACCUCUUGCUGUGGAAAAGUGCCUCUGCAUGGUCUAGUAAACGUUUACUUUGAGUUGAUCAAGUUGUGAGAGUUCACAAAUCACAUACUGGGAAGCCUUAUUUGGGAGUCCCAUGGAUGAGAACUGUUCUUGUGACCCUUUGCUCAGCAGGAAUAGUUUCCAUCCUUAUGGUGUGGGGACCUGGGCCCUUGCUGGAGAUGCCUCCUGACUUCACAGCUGUCUGCAAGGAUGCCCACACAAGCCAAAUCCCAUCAGGGGCCAUGCUUACGUUUUAUAACAGUGAUCAGGAAGAGGAAGCAUGAAAUCCCCGGAGAAUAUGCCAACAGGAAAACAGAAUGAAUUAGGAAUGAGAGAUCAGAUACAGUUACUGCAGCUCUGUGACCAGACUGUAUCUGUAAUCCCAUGAAAGCAGACAGGCUCAUAGGUGACCUUUGGAGAAAACAGGUAAUGGAAAUCACAAACAGCACAUUGAGAGGUGUAAAGACUUUAAGAAUACUGAGAUUAUAAAUUAAUUCUUUUAUUGAUACUUUGGA